rnacentral:tRNA from 1 species
AAGUCUAAGGGUUGUAUCUUAAACCCACCAUCUGAUUUGCACUCAGACACUACUUUUAGACC